UGGCGGCGCUGCUCUCCACCUCUGUCACCCGGGAACAGCGAGGGUUGAAUUUUCGUUCAGUGUUUCGUACAAAUCUUUUUGUUUGUCAUCAUCGUCACCGUUAUGGUCUUUUGAGUGGCACCUCAUUGCCAAAAUUGGAUACACGAACUCCUCGAGAACAAAUUGGUAUGAUAUAACACAGGAUCAUUUGUUCGUGUUUUGAAGACAGAUUGCACAGCAGCUGAUUGAUUGAUUGAUUGAUUGUGAGUCAUCUGGCGUCACAACUACCAGGGUCCCCGACGCCGACACAGCAGCUGAAAUGUCGUCGAUAGAAAUAAGAGAGAGGCGGCCAGCUACUGAAAGAAGUAAUGGCCUCGCCCACAGGUAGACGGAAGCGAUGGAUAUCGGUAUUCCUAUGGCACGACGGCCUUAGUAUGCUCAUUAUAUGGACGUUUUGGAUGAUAAAAAAUUUUCAUUUGUUUUUCCUCUUUAUUUUUAAUGAUUUUAUGACGAUUCUUAUCCCCAGAAUAGAAUUAUUAGUUUUAUUUCCUCUAGUAUCAAUCAUGGUAUUUGUUGAUCCAGUUACAUCUCAUGGUUAACUAGAGGCUAAUACUGAAA